AUGCGUACAUGUGUGUGUUAAGGGCACGACUAUAUAUAUUUAAAAAAAAAAAAAAAAAAUUUUAACAAAAAGGAAAGACGCGCCGGUU
rnacentral:rRNA from 1 species